GGAGAUGCCGUGAGACACUCCACUCCCCCACCAUCUCUCUUCCCCCGCCGCCACCUCCCUUCCUCCACCGCCGCCGCCGCCCACAUUUCAACAAACCCCGCCUUCUCCUUGCAAAUACAGCAGCAACUGGCCGGACGCCUCGACCCGCCUUCGCUUGGCUCCUCUUCCGAAUCUGCGCCGCCGCAUUUGCUGCUCGUCUUCCCCGUGCGUGCGGGGGGAAGGUGGCCGGACUCGAGGAGCACGGUGGUCGCCGGGCUCGACGGAGUGCUGCGAAUGGCUUCCAAGCUUCAGCUCCUGUCCUUCAUUGCCACCAGAGUUGUUAUUGCUUCACUCUUCCACCCUUGUGCAUCCAUUGAGAUCCACCAUGAGCUCUCCGGCUGGUCCGAUGGCAUCGCUACUUGGUAUGGUGACGCCAAUGGCGCGGGAAGUGAAGGUGGCGCUUGCGGGUACCAGUAUGCUGUCGACCAGCCGCCGUUCUCAUCCAUGAUUGCCGCUGGCGGCCCUGUCAUAUACGACUCUGGCGAUGGCUGUGGCGCGUGCUACCGGGUGGUCUGCGGUGGCAAUCAAGCUUGCUCUGGUAUUCCGGUGACCGUCGUCAUCACAGACCAGGGCCCUGGUGGCGGCCCAUGCCUGAGCGGGUUAGUCGAUGGACAGUGCCAGAAUGAGGCAGCGCACUUCGACAUGAGCGGGACAGCAUUCGGCGCCAUGGCGAAACCUGGCCAAGCUGACCAGCUCCGCGGCGCUGGCCUCAUCCAAAUCCAGUACACCCGCGUGACCUGUGACUGGACUGGAGUAGGCCUGACCUUCAAAGUGGACAGCGGCUCGAACCCGAACUACCUCGCCAUCCUGGUCGAGUACGAGGACGGCGACAGCGACCUCUACGCCGUCGACAUCAUGCAGAGCGGUGCCGGGGCAACCGGAGUGUGGAUCCCGAUGCAGCAGUCCUGGGGCGCGGUGUGGAAGCUUUCCGGCUCCACCCUCCAGGGGCCCUUCUCCAUCCGGCUGACUUUCAGGUCCGGCAAGAUGCUCGUCGCCGGCAACGCCAUACCCACCGGGUGGAACCCCGGCGUGGCAUACCAGCCGGGCGGCGUGGCGGUGAGGGAAAGGGCGAGCGACGGUCGCCGGCGCUAUGGGUUUGAAGGGAGGUUGGGCUGGCUGUGUCACCUCCUGCUGUUGCUGAUGGUAUUGUUCCAGCUGUGA
rnacentral:rRNA from 1 species